UAUACAUGCAGUCGAGCGGACAGAAGGGAGCUUGCUCCCGGAUGUUAGCGGCGGACGGGUGAGUAACACGUGGGUAACCUGCCUGUAAGACUGGGAUAACUCCGGGAAACCGGAGCUAAUACCGGAUAGUUCCUUGAACCGCAUGGUUCAAGGAUGAAAGACGGUUUCGGCUGUCACUUACAGAUGGACCCGCGGCGCAUUAGCUAGUUGGUGAGGUAACGGCUCACCAAGGCGACGAUGCGUAGCCGACCUGAGAGGGUGAUCGGCCACACUGGGACUGAGACACGGCCCAGACUCCUACGGGAGGCAGCAGUAGGGAAUCUUCCGCAAUGGACGAAAGUCUGACGGAGCAACGCCGCGUGAGUGAUGAAGGUUUUCGGAUCGUAAAGCUCUGUUGUUAGGGAAGAACAAGUGCAAGAGUAACUGCUUGCACCAUGACGGUACCUAACCAGAAAGCCACGGCUAACUACGUGCCAGCAGCCGCGGUAAUACGUAGGUGGCAAGCGUUGUCCGGAAUUAUUGGGCGUAAAGGGCUCGCAGGCGGUUUCUUAAGUCUGAUGUGAAAGCCCCCGGCUCAACCGGGGAGGGUCAUUGGAAACUGGGAAACUUGAGUGCAGAAGAGGAGAGUGGAAUUCCACGUGUAGCGGUGAAAUGCGUAGAGAUGUGGAGGAACACCAGUGGCGAAGGCGACUCUCUGGUCUGUAACUGACGCUGAGGAGCGAAAGCGU
rnacentral:rRNA from 1 species